rnacentral:rRNA from 1 species
CCUACGGUGGGCAGCAGUGAGGAAUAUUGGUCAAUGGGCGCGAGCCUGAACCAGCCAAGUCGCGUGAGGGAAGAUGGUCCUAUGGAUUGUAAACCUCUUUUGUCGGGGAGCAAAAGACGCCACGCGUGGCGUUCCGAGAGUACCCGAAGAAAAAGCAUCGGCUAACUCCGUGCCAGCAGCCGCGGUAAUACGGAGGAAGAGAGCUUUAUCCGGAUUUAUUGGGUUUAAAGGGUGCGCAGGCGGAAGAUCAAGUCAGCGGUAAAAUUGAGAGUCUCAACCUCUUCGAGCCGUUGAAACUGGUUGUCUUGAGUGAGCGAGAAGUAUGCGGAAUUCUUGGUGUAGCGGUGAAAUGCAUAGAUAUCACGCAGAACUCCGAUUGCGAAGGCAGCAUACCGGCGCUCAACUGACGCUCAUGCACGAAAGUGUGGGUAUCGAACAGGAUUAGAUACCCGGGUAGUC